AACAAAGUCCAUUAUAGUGUCAUAGAGGGAACAGGUGGAGAGGACUGGAGCAGUGGCUGAGAACACACAUCUUAAACCACAAGUGGGAAGCAGAGAGAAUAUCCUCAAAAUGGUGUAUGGUGAAUGGUAUACUUCGAGACACAUAUGACAUUGGAUCCUGUUGUGAUAAUUUACCAAGAAUGUUACAACACCACAAAAUAGAUCUUAAACAAUAAAAAUACAGAGACCUGAAUUAUGAAAGCAAGGAAUUUUGAACAUUUAUCUGAUGCCUUAGUAAUAAAUCCAUUUCCUCCAUGGAAAAGAUGGUCUUUACUCAUUUAUGCAUGGACAGUGAAGUUCUUCUCUUCUUGAGCAUGGCCAGUUAUCCUGAUCUCCCUCCACUGUGACUUCCCUGCUAUGAUGGACUAUUACCUGGAACUGUGAGCUGUAAUGACCCCUUCUUCUCUACAUUUAUUUUGUUGGGUUAUUUUAUCACAAUAGGACAAGAAACGGACUAGAUGAGCUCCCAGAACAAAUAGCAAGCUCGAAGAACCCCACGUGACACUACUGACCCAGGGCUGGUAUAAGCCUAAGAGACACGACGGCAAAAUAUUGUCAUCUUCGGAUAAUUUUCCAAAUAUAAGUGAACCAGGACACCAGCUGAGAGCCAGUGUCUUCUGUAACUUACAAGCAAGAUACAUCUGUGAAGCCUCAGCAAUAGAGAUGAGUAAGCAUAACCUUGCACAAUAACAGCACCAGUUGACCUGCCACUGUGGAAGGGAUGUAUCAGGGGAGGCUCUGAGAGCAGGAAGUUAGGUGUUCAUGUCAUGGAAGGGCAGGAUCUGAAACCCAGCAUGCUCAGUAAGAGGUUUGGCUCUCUUCCGAAGCACAAGUAAAGAAGUGAGGUCUCUGAGGAAAUACAAGAGGCAAGAGGCAGGUGACAGAUCUGCAAGAAAAUCCCUAGGAAAAAAAUAGAACUGACUUUGUAAUCACAACAGCUACAGCCCUGGACCUUUGUGGCAAAUUACUCUAAAUGCAAAAAGGAAACAGGCAAUGAUAGGAAAAGAUAAUGUUCUGAGGCAGACAUUGGACUGAAGACCAGGAAGAAUGACGUCAGAUUUUCUUCCAUGAGAAAAGAAUCACGGACAUGGAUUCAGAUCAUCAUGGAGGAAAAAAUGUUAUGAAGAUGCUUUUACUAGACUUUAACAUAAUUGCAGCCUAGAAACAUCUGCUGCCUGCAGAAAACACACUGAAACAAUCUUGCUCCCAGAGAGUUUUGUUCAGGAACUGGAAUAGAAAGGUCCCCUAGGACUAAACCAUGUCACUUUCCUGCUUUUUACCCUAAUAGCCACAAUGGGGUUGAUCAUAACUUUGCAGCUCCCAAAAUGUGAAUGUGGCUUGAAGAGUUCGUUCAGGUGAUCAAUGGAGUCCUUCCUGUCAUCUCAGGGUAGACAUCCACGGUUCCUGUGCAAAUCAUGAGAUUUUGUUAUUAACUUUAAAUGACUAAGUCAAUAAGAGAAAGGGUCAAAGAAGAAAUCAGCAGGACCCAGGGUCCAAAAAUAGAAAGUCCCCAAGAAAAAGAUAACAAUGACUCUCGUGAAGGUGAAGAUACAAUGUACACCGUCAAGGAGAUUGUGUGCUACUGAGAAAGUGCGCGAUGCCAGUGGAGUACACUGUCCAGAGGCUUGUGAGGUAGGCAGGGAUCUGCAAUGGGAAUUGGAGAAAGAAGAACAUCUUCUCAGUCUGUCUCUCUCCAUCUCCACAGCACAGGAGCAGAUGUCAUUCUGCCACCUAGAAAC
rnacentral:lncRNA from 1 species